rnacentral:lncRNA from 1 species
GAAGUUUGAGGCCGGCCGCUUGGUGGCGCCUGUGGCCGCAGGGAUUUGACUGGGCCUUCUCUAGCUUUCCCCGGUUUGCUGCACUUGACGCUGCAGGGCGGGCGGGGUAAAGAAGGGAGCGAGCCCUUCUCAAGCUUGGAAAGUUUCCAGACUGCUGGGCCAGCCUCCUCCCCAGAGGGAAACUGAGGUCCGAUUGAGGUUUCUCCAAGACCGCCCACUCCUGCUCCUGUCCCCAAACCCCUUUCUGCCUAGGGUUCCUGGAAGCCAAGGAAACAGAACGAACUGUUCCCUGGGUGGGCGAGCCACUGCAGAGUACAAAGCUUUCAGGCCGCCUGCCUCAUUAGCACUAAUGGCUGCUCCCUUCCGCCCUGUGUCGUCAGGACUGUCUAUGCCUGGUCUCAUCAGCACAAGGCUGGGGUAAGGACUGCCCUUUUGUGGAGAUGGCAGGACAUACAGGACCCUGCUGCCCCUGCCUUCCCUCACCCCACUGCAGAGCUGUUUAUCACACACGUGUCCAUCUGGGAAAGGAAUGCAGGCUGAAUCAGCUUUGAGAGGAUCGCAAGGCCCCAGUGCACAAACUGGGUUGGCACAAGGCAGUGGAAAAAAGAUGAAGGGGGCCAGUAACAGCUGAAGAAGUCCCAGGAGUCCUCCCAUGUCCUCUCAGCAACCCAGGCUGGAGCCUACUCCUUGGUGUUGGCAAAGGAAACCGUCUUUGAAGGGCAACUGUUUGAAAAUGCUGCAGAAACAUGAGAAAUGUUCAUGAAGUGACCCUGUGGAGGCUUCCGGUCACAGGAUCAUGUGAGCGCCACGAUCACCCCAGGGGUGGAGCAGAUGCUAAGUGUUCACCACACCCAAUUCUCUUCCUGGACACACAGGAAGAUGACAUUUCCAGUGACAUGCCCCACCUCUAGGCCCUAGUCUUUUUUUUAUUUAAAGGUCUGAGUCUUGUUCUGUCACCCAGGCUGGAGUGCAGUGCUGUGAUCAUGACUCACUGCAGCCUCAACCUCCUGUGCUCAAACAAUCCUCCCACCUCAGCCUCCCUAAUAGCUGAUGUCAUAUAGGCAUGAGCCAGUGUGCCUGGCUCAGGCCCUACCCUUAAAAGCAUCCCACCUGAUUCACCAGCCCCCUUCUCUCUCUCAGUAAACUUGGAAACCACGCAUUCCAGAUGGUAUAAUUUACAGCAUGAUGGAAAAAGCCAGCUCUCCAUGGGAAGCUGGCCAGUCUUCAUUGGAGUACAUUUUUAUUGCAUGAAGCCAAUGAGACUUGAUAUUGUUUAACUCUGUGGUUUCCAAAGUGCGGUCCUUUUGAAGUAUCCAUAAAGUCUACACUAGGUUCACGGUAAUAUUAAGAUGUUAUUUGUCAGCUGGGCACGGUGGCUCACGCCUAUAAUCUCAGCACUUUGGGAGGCCAAGGCAAAUGGAUAAUGAGGUCAG